CAAUAGCGUAUAUUUAAGUUGUUGCAGUUAAAAAGCUCGUAGUUGGAUUUCGGUUAAGAGCGACCGGUCCGCCGUUUGGUGUGCACUGGUUGGUUUUAACUUCCUGUAGAGGACGUGCUCUGGGUUUAACGACCUGGACUCGGAGUCUACGUGGUUACUUUGAAAAAAUUAGAGUGUUCAAAGCGGGCUUACGCUUGAAUAUUUCAGCAUGGAAUAACACUAUAGGACUCCUGUCCUAUUUCGUUGGUCUCGGGACGGGAGUAAUGAUUAAGAGGAGCAGUUGGGGGCAUUCGUAUUUCAUUGUCAGAGGUGAAAUUCUUGGAUUUAUGAAAGACGAACUUCUGCGAAAGCAUUUGCCAAGGAUGUUUUCAUUAA
rnacentral:rRNA from 1 species